ACACACACACACACACACACACCCCGGCGUAUUGGAACCUCUCUCGCGAUCCCGCACCCAGCUUGAAUUCAGCGAGAAUCGAAAACAGGUGUGCCCCCGGGUCCAACAACCAUCGUAUCUACAGCAAUCCUUAGAGAACAAUUAAGGCCAGCUGACAGUAAAGAACAGUCAGUGUGUACUUGAAAUCCAGGCUGAGACAGCAUUGGUCUUCUGGCAGCUGCAAGACUGACCUAUCAACUGAGGCAUUUCUUCAUUCCUUGCCAUUGUCUCCUCCUCUUGAGAUCGCCAUCAGGCCCAGCCACUUUUCUACAAACAGGCAAUAGGACUCCCGCUGCCACCCUGCCCAGAUUUUAGUCCUCUAUUGCUGAUAAAGUGAGCAAAGAUAUGUGGCACUUCCUGAACUCAAAUACUCUUCUGAGCUGAUUCUAAAUCCAAACAGAAUCAACCUACCUCCUAUUACCUCCCUCUAAGCUCUGUGCUCCAUUCUCUCAUUUCAGUCUCAGCUCCAGACAUCAGCAAAUUCAAUGUGAUACAUCAGGUGCCAUCACAGGACUUCCCUACUUGAAAAUCAAGCAAUCGUGUCCCUGAAACACACUGUCUUUAUUCAUGCUCAAUUACCAUAAAGUAGAUGCAACUCUAAGAACCUAUGGAUUUUUUUAUUGACACUAAUAGAUCAUGAUUUACAGCAAAAUUUUAAAAG
rnacentral:antisense_RNA from 1 species